UACAGAGGUCUCACGCGUUGUUCGGAUUCAUUGGGCGUAAAGGGUGUGUAGGUGGCGCCGUAAGUCAGGUGUGAAAUCUCGGGGCUCAACCCCGAAACUGCACUUGAUACUGCGGUGCUCGAGUACUGGAGAGGAGAUUGGAAUUUACGGUGUAGCAGUGAAAUGCGUAGAUAUCGUAAGGAAGACCAGUGGCGAAGGCGAAUCUCUGGACAGUUACUGACACUGAGGCACGAAGGCCAGGGGAGCAAACGGG
rnacentral:rRNA from 1 species